GACGAACGCUGGCGGCGUGCUUAACACAUGCAAGUCGAACGAGAGGAGAAGGAAGCUUGCUUCUUUCAAAUCUAGUGGCAAACGGGUGAGUAACACGUAAACAACCUGCCUUCAGGAUGGGGACAACAGACGGAAACGACUGCUAAUACCGAAUACGUUCCUUAGGUCGCAUGACUUUAGGAAGAAAGGGUGGCCUCUACUUGUAAGCUAUCGCCUGAAGAGGGGUUUGCGUCUGAUUAGGUAGUUGGUGAGGUAACGGCCCACCCAAGCCGACGAUCAGUAGCCGGUCUGAGAGGAUGAACGGCCACACUGGAACUGAGACACGGUCCAGACUCCUACGGGAGGCAGCAGUGGGGAAUCUUCCGCAAUGGGCGAAAGCCUGACGGAGCAACGCCGCGUGAGUGAUGACGGCC
rnacentral:rRNA from 1 species